GUCGUAACAAGGUUUCCGUAGGUGAACCUGCGGAAGGAUCAUUACCGGUAUCCUCUCCCGCACCCCAUUGAGCAGGGUUCGCGUGGUGGCGCGUCUGUCUCUUUGAGACUGGCGGGUCGCGCGCGUCUCUCUCCUCGUCUCUUCGGAGGCGUUGACAACUGGUCGCAUUUCGAUGCGUCCCGUGUCAGUAGGGAUGUGAUGCGCGCGUGUCUGUUUGACGCGUGCGCACACGCCCGCCCCCUGUAUUUGCCGGUCGCAUUGCGCGGCUCGGCAAGACACUCCAAAUACCACAACUCCUGCCGACGGAUAUCUUGGCUCUCGCAACGAUGAAGAACGCAGCGAAAUGCGAUACGUAGUGCGAAUUGCAGAAUUCAGUGAAUCAUCGAACCUUUGAACGCAUAUGGCUCUUCCCGUUUCCGACUGGAAGAAUGCCCCUUCGAGUGGAGUCACCACCCCUCCUCGGCGCGCCUUGCGCGUGUCCGGAGUCGGCCGCUGCGACACGUUUGGUGUGGCACCGGCUCAAGGGCAGAGAGAGCCGCUGCGCCUCUGGUACCAUCGGGGAGCGUUGCUUUCCGCUGGCGUGCUAGUAUGGGCUUGGUCCCAUUUUGGUCGCCGGCCUUUGCGACGCGCUAUCGACCCGCAUGGUGUGGCGCUGGCGGCCUCCUCGCGCGACGACCUUUUAGGUGUCGCCGGUGAGUCGUCACUUCAUUGAAGUGUCGUCCUUUCUGACCCUCCAUCGAAUGGAGCAAGACUACCCGCUGAACUUAAGCAUAUCACUAAGCGGAGGAGAAGAAACUAACCAGGAUGCCCCUAGUAAUGGCGAAUGAAGCGGGCAGAGCUCACGCCGUCAAUCCGGAGGCUUUGAUUGCCCCCUGAAUUGUAGUCUGGAGAGGCGCCAUCGGCCGCGCCCGGCGCUCAAGUCCCUUGGAACGGGGUAUCGGAGAAGGUGAGAAUCCUGUGCCGCGCCGGCGCGUGGCCGCACGAUGCGUUCUCGUAGAGUCGGGCUGCUUGGGAGUGCAGCCUGAAGCGGGUGGUAAAUUCCAUCUAAAGCUAAAUACUGGCGAGAGACCGAUAGCGAACAAGUACCGUGAGGGAAAGAUGCAAAGAACUUUGAAAAGAGAGUUAAAGAGUGCUUGAAAUUGGCAGGAGGAAACCCGGUUGCGCGUGGCAUCGCGCGGCGUCGACUCAGCCUCGCGCGGGGCAUGUAGGGGACCUAACGGCUCCGUUGCCGGUGCGUGGGGUGCACUUCGGCGUCGCGGGUCAGCCGCGGCUCGGCGGGGGCAAGACGGCUGUUUGCAGGGCUUCGGCGUAGCGAAUGGUGAUGGCCCGCGCUGGGCUCCGGCUGAUGCGCACGGGCGCAACCGACCCGUCUAGAAACACGGACCAAGGGGUCUGACGCGUGUGCGAGUACCCGGGUGGCAAGCCCGCGUGCGCAAUGAAAGUGAAGGGCGUGCCCCGCCAACCGACCUUGAUCUUCUGUGAAGGGUUUGAGUGGAGCACACGAGUCGGGACCCGAAAGAUGGUGAACUAUGCGUGA
rnacentral:rRNA from 1 species